ACGUAAUAGAUACCCGGGUAGUCCAUGCCGUAAACGUUGGGCACUAGGUGUGGGGGCCAUUCCACGGUUUCCGCGCCGCAGCUAAACGCAUUAAGUGCCCCGCCUGGGGAGUACGGCCGCAAGGCUAAAACUCAAAGGAAUUGACGGGGGCCCGCACAAGCGGCGGAGCAUGCGGAUUAAUUCGAUGCAACGCGAAGAACCUUACCAAGGCUUGACAUGUGCCGGACCGUCCCAGAGAUGGGGCUUCCCUUCGGGGCCGGUUCACAGGUGGUGCAUGGUUGUCGUCAGCUCGUGUCGUGAGAUGUUGGGUUAAGUCCCGCAACGAGCGCAACCCUCGUUCCAUGUUGCCAGCACUUCGGGUGGGGACUCAUGGGAGACUGCCGGGGUCAACUCGGAGAAGUGGGGACACGUCAAAUCAUCAUGCCCCGUUAUGUCUGGGCUUCACGCAUGCUACAAUGGCCGGUACAAACGGGUUGCGAUACUGUGAGGUGAGCCAAUCCCAGAAAGCCGGUCUCAGUUC
rnacentral:rRNA from 1 species